GGAGCAGCCUUCCAUCCGUCAGGGCCCACGCGGGUCAGGCUGGACACCCUGGAGAGGGUGCCGAUGUACCUGAGUCUCCUGCCAUGGGACAGAAGGGAUAUUCUGUGAUCACUGAGACCAUAGGGCGGCUCAGCAGGGUCUGCACAGUCUACUUGAAGAUAAAGCCUCCAAGGUUUUCUACAAUCUCUUCUCGAUCUACUUUUUCAUCUCACCUCCUUGUACUUUUCAAAAGUGCAUGAAAUCAGAAUAGGCUGAUCUGCCCUGUCCAUAGAUGCUCUGCUCAGAUAGGUUAAUGGCCAAUGACUCCCUGGCACCAUCUGCAGUGAACUGUGAAAGAGCAAACUCGGCCUUGCCCGCCUGACAGCCUCACUGUCACUCAGAGCGACCACGGGGGCCCCAGACACACUCUCGCUGUUAAGAAGCCCUGUCCAAGAACCUUGCCACAUACAUCCCCUGUCAAGAAGUGGAGUCUGGGGCUUCCCUGGUGGUGCAGUGGUUAAGAAUCCACCUGCCAAUGUAGGGAACACGGGUUCUAGCCCUGGUUUGGGAA